AACCUCUAUUGUGAAAUAAGAGGUGACAUGAGUGAUGCUAGUGUUUACGUAAUAAUAGAUGUAACCUCUGAAAAAAAUUUUGGAGGCUAGAGAGAACCAUAAUCACUGUUCAUCAACUUUUUACUACAUAACUGACCAUGCACUGGGGAAUUCAUAAACAUCAAUUCACCUUAAUGAACCUAAAUUGAGACACUAGAGCAUGGAAGUCGGGAGCUUGCCUUUUGGAACAAACUGCAUGGAGUCAAAGCCAAGCAAUUCCACUUAUGAGCUGUGCGACCCCGAGCAAGUCACACAACGUCCCUGUGCCUCAAGUCUGUAAUAUGAGGCUAAUGUUAGUAGGUAAAAUUAAUGAGGUGAGAAGCAAUUAUUGCCCAAUCAGUAAAAGACAGGGUGAUGAAGGGAGGACAAAGAAAACAUCAAUCACGAACUGAAGAGCUGAUAAAGACCACAGAACAGAAGGUCCGAAAGAGAGCCACCGGAAAAGGUCUUAAAAAUUAUCAGAGGACAAGACAGUGGAGGGUGGACUAGACAUGAUUAAAAGAGUACAACACCGCUUCUUCCUUCGAUGACUUGUGUGAUGUGGCAAUGCAAUCUCCAGAACCUCAAUACCUUGAAUCAGAUUUUGCGCACAAGCACAAACAUUAAUUGGAGGCUUCCAAAACUUGCUCUGAGGUUUGAAAAUUUUCCAAAUAUAAAGUGAAAAAUUAGAAAGAUACCAAAUACCUCCUGGGCACCAGUUUUGCAGCUGGAGGGAAAGAAAGAGCCAGCCCUCAGCCGAGGAAAGACUCGGUUGAAUUACUGGCUCAUGUGAAGGGGGAGUGGAAUCAAGCUGACCUUUGCCCUUUGAUGAAUUUCAGAGCAACGACAAGACUAGUAUGUGAGGUCCAGAGACAAGUUGGAAUGAUUUGCCUGAAGUGAGUCUGAGACUGGAGACUGGCUCUUCCACCCUCUCCAAGGGCUCUUUCAAACUGUGCACCACAGUGGACCUGGUUUGUUUUGGAAGUACUUGGCUCAGUUCUCUUUGUACAAGCAUACGUGAUCCAGACAGCCUUGGCUUGCAGCUCAACUUUGCAGGGGCAGUGAGUCUGUGCCUGCAAUAAUGUGAAUUCGUUUCCUGACAAGAAGCAGAAAUUUCAAGGUUAUACACACUCUCCAGUGAACAGCUGUCUGAUAUCAACUCCUUGUCCCCAGAGUUGAAGCUUCUGAGUCAAACCAGUGGGGGAACAGGUUUGAAGAAAGGAAGAAGAGAACAGCCAGACUUCCUCACCUACUCCACAGGAAGUGCAGUUGGAAGGCUCAUUUCCUUGGCAUUCUUGGCAGGUUCUGGUCACCACAUCAAGCACCACUGGAGUGAACAAUCCUUUUGGCCCACUGCAGAGCGUGGAGUCCCAGCCCUAAGGAGACACGUAUGCACAUCUGGUUGUCCAUGUCAAAACAGAUCCCCUGUGCCAUGGUGCAUAAUGAGAAGGCUGUGCUCCCAGCCCAGACUUUUAGUUGAUGGCACUAAUGCCUACUGGGAAUAUCCCAGCCCCACCCUGGCUCCGGUUUCUGAGCUAGGAGAUUUUUCAAGGAAUCAUUUGGAUGUGACUAGUUAAAAAAACAAAAAUCGCCCUUUAAAAAAAAACUGCGUAAAAGCUUUCUGAAGUCUCUAAACAAGGAAGCUACUAGAUGCUCUGCUGGAAGGAAGAAUGGGAAUGUUUAUU